rnacentral:lncRNA from 1 species
GCGCGCUAAUCGGUGACAGCGUGCGACCCUCGCCCGCCCGCGUGUGCUGCGGAGGAGGUCGGGGCGCAGCCCUCCGCCACGCCGGAGUGAGAAUUGGAAGCAAAUCUCCAGGAGGCCGGAGGCGCGUGUGGCGGCGGGGCUGAGAUAUUCUAAAAUCCAACAGUCUCAAUCUGGGAGCACUUUAAUUUCGAAUAAGAAAUUCUCAGUCUGUACUAAAUGCUUGUUUAGUCAUCGGAAAGCAUGCCUUAUAAUAUCCUCCACAACUCUCUGCUCACCCAACUU